GCAGGAAGCGCCCCAGCCGUGUCACUCGGGUGAGCUGGGGAAAGGACCGCCCCCUGCACUCCCCGGUGGCGGGAAGUGGAGCGAUCCCGGCCCCAGCCUGCUCCGCUUCCCCCGCCCCGGCCCCAGCCGUGUUGCUUGGGUGGGCGGGGGGCAGGAGCGGCCCCCGCACUCCCCAGCAGCGGGAAGCGGAGUGACGCGGCCGGCGGAGUGGAGCAGGCUGGGGUCGGGUUGCUCCAUUUCCCGCCGCUGCUGAUGGAGCGACCACCUCUGCAUGAAGUAUUCAAGAUAAGCCUGCCAGUCUCUCUCAUGCUCUGCACAGAUCAAGGGAAGGGAACUGAAGCCAUUAGGCCAUUUCCCUGCUUUUCCCACAAACCAGAGAAGGUGGCAGCCAGGAGUUGUGGACAGGAGGACUGGCUGCCACUAACCACCACUGCUGAGCUACUGAUCACAUGUUAACUCUUCCAAGAUAAGCAGGAAGUGUGCUGCCUGAACAGGACUCUGCUAAUGAAAAAUGAGGCUUUCAGCUUCUGAUCUGCCGUGUAACUGCCAGAAAUGUAGCCUUGACAUGCUGACAAAGCCCCAUCUUGCAGCUCUUCCCAGAAAAACUCCUGUUGAAGUCAAAGGAAGUUCUGAACAAGGCCUUGACUAAAGGCUUCAGAGUGAGAUGCAAGUUUAUGCUCUUGCCAGAUUUAGUCCUUAAAUAUGUAUUCAUUGGGAAAUGCUUUAUUGUUUUAUUAAAGGGAAUUAAAGUGUUACAGAAAAUAGCAAACAUAACCCCACCGCACAUGAGAAGAAUAGAGCCGAAAUUCUGCAUGUGCAUAAUCAAGCAAUGAAGUUAAAAAGUGUGUAAUAUCAGAAAAACUGGAGCCAAUAGUGUAAACAAUUAUCUAUCUGCUUAAUCUUUAAACAGAAUGUAUUGAUUUCAUACAAAAAUGUAUUACAGCAAUUGAUUAA